rfam:Schistosoma rodhaini strain Burundi genome assembly, scaffold: SROB_scaffold0002627
AUUCAGCUGACGAGUCCCGAAUAGGACAAAACUAGCUUCCUGGAU